UACAGAGGUCUCAAGCGUUGUUCGGAUUCAUUGGGCGUAAAGGGUGCGUAGGCGGCGCGGUAAGUCGGGUGUGAAAUUUCGAGGCUUAACUUCGAAACUGCAUUCGAUACUGCCGUGCUUGAGGACUGGAGAGGAGACUGGAAUUUACGGUGUAGCGGUGAAAUGCGUAGAUAUCAGGAGGAACACCGGUGGCGAAGGCGGUUCUCUGGGCAUUACCUGACGCUGAGGAGCGAAAGUGUGGGGAGCAAACAGG
rnacentral:rRNA from 1 species